rnacentral:rRNA from 1 species
UGAGGAAUAUUGGUCAAUGGGCGCGAGCCUGAACCAGCCAAGUAGCGUGAAGGAUGAAGGUCCUAUGGAUUGUAAACUUCUUUUAUAGCAGAAUAAAGUGACCCACGUGUGGGUUUUUGUAUGUAUGCUAUGAAUAAGGAUCGGCUAACUCCGUGCCAGCAGCCGCGGUAAUACGGAGGAUCCGAGCGUUAUCCGGAUUUAUUGGGUUUAAAGGGUGCGUAGGCGGAAAGAUAAGUCAGCCUGUGAAAGUUUGCGGCUCAACCGUAAAAUUGCAGUUGUUACUGUUUUUCUUGAGUGUACAUAAGGUAGGCGGAAUUCGUGGUGUAGCGGUGAAAUGCUUAGAUAUCACGAAGAACUCCGAUUGCGAAGGCAGCUUACCGAGGUACAACUGACGCUGAUGCACGAAAGUGUGGGUAUCAAACA